AUUGAAGCUGGCGGCAGGCUUAACACAUGCAAGUCGAGCGGAUGACGGGAGCUUGCUCCUUGAUUCAGCGGCGGACGGGUGAGUAAUGCCUAGGAAUCUGCCUGGUAGUGGGGGACAACGUUUCGAAAGGAACGCUAAUACCGCAUACGUCCUACGGGAGAAAGCAGGGGACCUUCGGGCCUUGCGCUAUCAGAUGAGCCUAGGUCGGAUUAGCUAGUAGGUGAGGUAAUGGCUCACCUAGGCGACGAUCCGUAACUGGUCUGAGAGGAUGAUCAGUCACACUGGAACUGAGACACGGUCCAGACUCCUACGGGAGGCAGCAGUGGGGAAUAUUGGACAAUGGGCGAAAGCCUGAUCCAGCCAUGCCGCGUGUGUGAAGAAGGUCUUCGGAUUGUAAAGCACUUUAAGUUGGGAGGAAGGGUUGUACGUUAAUACCGUGCAAUUUUGACGUUACCGACAGAAUAAGCACCGGCUAACUCUGUGCCAGCAGCCGCCGUAA
rnacentral:rRNA from 1 species